CUUGUUGGUGGGGUAAAGGCCUACCAAGGCUACGAUCUAUAGCUGAUUUGAGAGGAUGAUCAGCCACAUUGGGACUGAGACACGGCCCAAACUCCUACGGGAGGCAGCAGUGGGGAAUAUUGGACAAUGGGCGAAAGCCUGAUCCAGCAAUGCCAUGUGUGUGAAGAAGGCUCUAGGGUUGUAAAGCACUUUAGUUGGGGAGGAAAGCUUAUGAGUUAAUAGCUCAUGAGAAGGACGUUACCCAAAGAAUAAGGACCGGCUAACUCCGUGCCAGCAGCCGCGGUAAUACGGGGGGUCCGAGCGUUAAUCGGAAUUACUGGGCGUAAAGGGUCUGUAGGUGGUUUGUUAAGUCAGAUGUGAAAGCCCAGGGCUCAACCUUGGAACUGCAUUUGAUACUGGCAAACUAGAGUAUAGUAGAGGAAUGGGAAAUUUCUGGUGUAGCGGUGAAAUGCGUAGAGAUCAGAAGGAACACCAAUGGCGAAGGCAACAUUCUGGACUAAUACUGACACUGAGGGACGAAAGCGUGGGGAUCAAACAGGAUUAGAUACCCUGGUAGUCCACGCUGUAAACGAUGAGUACUAGCUGUUGGAGUCGGUGUAAAGGCUCUAGUGGCGUAGCUAACGCGUUAAGUACUCCGCCUGGGGACUACGGCCGCAAGGCUAAAACUCAAAGGAAUUGACGGGGACCCGCACAAGCGGUGGAGCAUGUGGUUUAAUUCGAUGCAACGCGAAGAACCUUACCUGGUCUUGACAUCCUGCGAACUUUCUAGAGAUAGAUUGGUGCCUUCGGGAACGCAGUGACAGGUGCUGCACGGCUGUCGUCAGCUCGUGUUGUGAAAUGUUGGGUUAAGUCCCGCAACGAGCGCAACCCCUAUUGAUAGUUACCAUCAUUAAGUUGGGUACUCUAUUGAGACUGCCGCUGACAAGGCGGAGGAAGGUGGGGACGACGUCAAGUCAUCAUGGCCCUUACGACCAGGGCUACACACGUGCUACAAU
rnacentral:rRNA from 1 species